rnacentral:lncRNA from 1 species
GAGCCCAGGAGGCGGGGCGCCUGUGGGAGCCGUGGAGGGAACUUUCCCAGUCCCCGAGGCGGAUCCGGUGUUGCAUCCUUGGAGCGAGCUGAGAGCUCGAGGUGAGCUGGGCUCGCGGUCGCCCCUCUCGCGCGCCCUCUUUAAGAACCACGGCGUCCAACCUCCCUGGAAAUGGGGGGAACAUGGCCGAGGCGCGUGGCGAGGCCGCCUCGUGGAGGCCCCGGAGCGGCAUCCUCAGCGCCCCAGCGAUCCGGUGCCCAUUAGGUGCGCCUUGAAGCCGAGUACAGAACCUGCUAAGGCCAUCAAACCUAUUGAUCGGAAGUCAGUCCAUCAGAUUUGCUCUGGGCCGGUGGUACCGAGUCUAAGCACUGCGGUGAAGGAGUUAGUAGAAAACAGUCUGGAUGCUGGUGCCACUAAUAUUGAUCUAAAGCUUAAGGACUAUGGAGUGGAUCUCAUUGAAGUUUCAGGCAAUGGAUGUGGGGUAGAAGAAGAAAACUUCGAAGGCUUAACUCUGAAACAUCACACAUCUAAGAUUCAAGAGUUUGCCGACCUACCUCAGGUUGAAACUUUUGGCUUUCGGGGGGAAGCUCUGAGCUCACUUUGUGCACUGAGGUGAUAAAAUAUUUUUAUCCAUUCACUUGACCCCUUAGAAAAACCUCUCUGAAAAUUAAUUGGAAUCAUUAUUAUUUACAGUUUUCUGUCUCAAUAUCUCAGCUUCCAGCUUCUGAAUUCUGUUUUGUCUCACUGCCAAUCUAAGUCCUAGUACUUCUGAAAUGUGAGCAAUAAAUGAAUGAAAUGAAGCAAA